rnacentral:rRNA from 1 species
AAUUGAAGAGUUUGAUCCUGGCUCAGAUUGAACGCUGGCGGCAUGGCUAAAACAUGCAAGUCGAACGAUGAAAGCACCUUCGGGUGUGCAUGAAGUGGCGAAAGGGCGAGGAAUACGUUCCUACGUACCCCAAGGUCAGGGAUAGCCCCGGGAAACUGGGAGUAAUACCUGAUGACAUCUCCGGAUCAAAGGCUUCGGCCACCUUGGGAGCGGGGAACGCCCUAUCAGGUUGUUGGUGAGGUAACGGCUCACCAAGCCAAAGACGGGUAGCGGGUGUGAGAGCAUGACCCGCCGCAUCGGGACUGAGACACUGCCCGG